CGGGCAACAGGCAAUACUGCGCUUGCGCAGCCCCUGGGAAGAAGGCGUGGCAGUAUUUACGAUAAAAGGAGACGCCAGAGAACGUAUCAUGGGGCAUGGAACAGAUACAAUUUGUUUUGUACACAAGCUAUGAAAGAAUCAUAGACCAAGCCAUGUCACGGGAAUGUAAACAUAAUCUUUAUGCUGAUUGGAUUUAACAGAUCAAUUAGUCAAGGAAAAUGUGAUUACAGUGACUCAAUCUAGAUACAAAUGGAGAGAACAUGUGAACAAAGCAGAUCAUGUUUUGGACCUGAUGCAAUUCUUGCCUCUCUUGGAUAUUACAGGAAAUAAGAACAUUUCUUCUGAAAUUAAUAAACAAGUUUUCCUGUCACUGGCAACAA